GCCACUUGACAUUGGGAGUUAUUUAUGAAAAAGGAAUUUAUUUCUAUUUGUCUGUUUUUCUCUACACCUGUGUGCAGAGAGAGAGAAAGGGAUGGAGAAUCGUGCAUACUGGUGGGGUUCACACUGUCAUUGCCAAUGGACAGUAUUUGCACAUUUGAGAAGUCCAGAGAGUUCCUCCAUCACACUGGAUUGUUCUGCAGUUUCAUUAAUCCAUACCUGCUCCCUCUUCCCCACCUCCUAUGUUUUCUCGUUCUCACCUCUUUGACCCUCAUCCUUCCUUCUCGGCUCCCCCUGCACAUGUUUCUCCACCCACAGCCAAUCAUAAUAUAACUCUGGUAGCAUCUGAAAAUCUGCCUAUAGCAGGAUCCAGGACUUUAAAAAGUGCCAUUUUGACUUGUCAUUUCCCCUUGUUUAGCUGUAGGCACAUAUCCUCCCACACACUCAAAGCAAAGUGGCUUCGUUUGCAACUGUCAUCAUUGCAGCAGUUUUUUAAACUAUGUUUAACUACUUUUUCUGUGUCCUUGUCAAGAAGAUGAAACUGGUACUUUUGUGACAUAGGGAAUUUCAGCAUAUUUACAGUUAAAAGGGCAGGAUUCCCUUUUUUCCUUUUGUUUCUUCCAAUGCUAAACAUGCAACAUUACAAGAUUUAAAAUACUUCCACUGAUGGUAAAAAUGAUCAAUUACUAAUGCUAAAAAUGAAAGAUGUAUAGUUUAAAACCUGUCUUCAAUGAAAAUAAAUGGUUCAGCAUCGUAGUAGGCAUGUUGCAAUGCUUAUGCUUUCUAUUCAACUCUAAACACAAAACCUGGCCAAAAUUCACUGGAAUUGUAUUAGUUUUGCUGGUAUUUGAUAAUGAAUGGAACUAUUCAGAGGACAUUAAAAGUGAUGUAUUCUUAGAGGGGCUUCAAUGUGUUUGACAGAUUGAAUGCCAAGCUAGACUCCAAUUAUUGAAACAUUUCUCUCAAAACCUCAAAAGAAAAAAAAAAAUACAGCAUCUUAUAACCAAGAAUGUCUUUUUACCAUUCUGUCCAGUAGAUACUGAGAUAUGUCAAGGAAUAAGUAAAAAUGUAUACCGUAAUACUCACCUUUGAAAUAAUUCCAUAAAAACAUACUUCUUGUACAAGACUUUCUGAAGGUUCAGUCAGUUUGAAUAUACAACAUACUGCUCAACGAGAUGUUAGAGCUCUGUGCAAAGGUAUAAUUUCAGCCAGGUAAGUUUCAGGUCAUUUUUCUUACAGAAACCCUUUUAAAUAUAUUCUGACAUGGCAG
ensembl:lncRNA